GACGAACGCUGGCGGCGUGCUUAACACAUGCAAGUCGAACGGAAAGGCCCGGUUUUUGUUGUGUGCUCGAGUGGCGAAAGUGUGAGACACACGUGUGUAACCUGCCCUUGACUUUGGGAAAACGUCAGGAAACUGGGGCUAAUACCGGUUAUGAGCUCCUGCUGCAUGGUGUGGGUUGGAAAGUUUCGGCGGUUGGGGUUGGACUCGCGGCUUAGCGGGUUGUUUGUGGGGUAGUGGCUUACCAAGGCUUUGACGGGUAGCCGGCCUGAGAGGUGGACCGGAGACAUGGGGAAGACGCUACGGCCCGGACGCCUACGGGAGGCAGGAGUGGGGAGUAGUGCACAGUGGGAGGAAGCCUGAGGCGGCAACGCCGGGUGCGGGAUGACGGCCUUCGGGUGGUAAACCGCUUUCGCCUGGGACGAAGCGUGAGUGACGGUAAUGGGUAAAGAAGCACCGGCUAACUACGUG
rnacentral:rRNA from 1 species